CCUCUCUCUUCCAGCCACUCCUGUUUGCUGCCCCUGUGGUUAUGCCAACACAACCCUGAAUCACACUGCCGUUCCACACUGCCAGAGGGCUACACCUGUUUCUGUGGGGUUUUCCUAAUAUACAUUUUCAACCCCCAAAUUAGCUUGCUGAUCUGUUUUAGAUCAUGCUUUUAACAAGCAACUGUACCGGCACCACGGCAGAGGAGCAGGCUGGGGGCUUGGGAGAGGAGGACGCUGCUCCAGACACCACCACCAUGAGAACCCCCACGUGAUGACCCUGAGACAGAGGAAGAACAAUGUGGAGCUCAGGACCACAUCCAAGAUACCAAAAGUCUGAGCAAAAUUCUGGAAGAUAAUUUUAAAGCAUCCCAUUCAGAGAAGGGUCUGUUUCUCAUAUAGAAACAUAUUGAAAUAUAGUUAUCAAUUGAAGAUUUAAAAUUUAAAAAAAAACCAAAACCAACAAACAAAGAAGCAAGUUUGAACGGAGAUUCGUCCUCCCCAAAAUGAGGGUUAGCUGCCAAGAAUACAUGUGGUCCUGUCCAAAGAGAUAAGACAAAUCUGAACCCAUUUACGGGGAGAAAGAAGGAACAGAGACACUCCCACUGAUAGAAAGGAAUGUGGCAGUGACAAAUGCACCCUGCCCAGUGCCAAACCCAUCCUUGGUGACGAAUACUUCAGAAACCCCAACAGCUGCCAACCUGGUUUCUGUCCUCUCCUCUGAACCACAGAUCUCAGAAACACAAGACUUGAACAGAUUGCUGUUUAAAAAGAAGUACUGGUGUUCUCCCUUUGAGCUUCCAUCCAUCAAGGCAGCAGUGCCACCUCCAAGAUGCCCUUUGAAGGGCUUGGAAGAGCCAUACGCUGGCCUGGGAGCUGGAGCAGACCAGCUGGCUGCAGAAAAACCCCCUCCCCACUCCUUGCCAAGCUCCAGGCACUCCAGCCCUACACCGACCAGCUGCACUUACGGUUCUGAGGAGGAUGUCAGGGGAUUUGAAGGACUCCCGCACCCCCGCCGGGUGUUGCUGCGCAGGAGAUGAACGCUGCCUGUCCAACUAGCAGCGGGCUCGUGCUAAAUUUCAACCUCUUUGGCCACCUACUCAGCUGCUAUUAAUAUUGCUGUUAUCGGAUUUCACUGAAUUCCCACGUGCUGCUGAGAAUAGAAAGGCUCCAGUGGAAGAUGUGGUUGCUGCAUGGGUACAGAAACAUGAGGACAUUCCUCCAGCACUUGGAUUCUUAGCAAAUUGAUAUUCAACUCCGAGAGCCACAGUUCACUGCUGAGAAUGCUGGAAAUAAACCAGCCAGGCUAUGGCUGCAGAGUUAGAGAACAGCGUUUGGAAACACACCUCUCUAUUUGACUAUAAAAAGCACAUGCAUUUUCCAUAGCAACACAUCCACCAGACCCAAUGCCACUCACAUCAUAGCAGCACAGAGUCUAAAAUGACAGCAGACAGCGUUUCUCCGUGCCCCUGUGGAACCCCUGGCUGGCAGCAAGGAGCUCUGUGGGCCCUGAUGAAUGAGCAGCCUGUCUCCACCCCGUGCCCCCACCUACUGAAGCUGAGGGGUGGAAGAGAAAUGCUCAAGAAGGAAAAGGCAGAGAGGGAACAGAGCCAGCCAACACCCUCUGUGGGAACACAUCACCAACCAUGGCUUCAGAGCCUGUCUUCUCACACUGCCUCUGGAGCAUGGUGCUUCCUUGCUGACCUCACCCAUUGUGCCUCCACACCAUUCUGAAAUCCCUUAUCAAAACAAAAACAGGCACUUCUAGAAAAGUGCAUCAACCCCGGCAAGUCACCAGACGAUAACAUUAUCCAUUUCCUCAUGCUCUUUUCCGACCCCUCCCUGGGUGGUCCAUCCCUGCCAGCUUCCUCAUUUUCUAGGCCAAUCUAGAGGUUCUCCCAGAGAGAAAACUAGUAUCCUGUAGGGAUGAAGGCAUGUCUGUCAAAUAAAAAUAAAAAUAAAUCUCCCAGAAGAACAAGCAGAAGAGCCUCAAUGAUAACCUGAGCACUCCUCGGCUCUUGUCUAAGGGGUGAGCAGGGCAAAUGGUGUGGAGCACUCACUGCAAGUUGUUGCUGUGGAAAAAAGUAGGUUGAUAGAAUCAUGCAUUUUCCUGCUCAAAUAUUAAGCUCUAUUAAAGAAAAUUAAAGUUGGACUGGAUGAUCUCUGAGAUCUUUUCCAAAAUAAAUUGUCCUAAAAUUGAUAAUAAUUAAUGUAGAUUUGUUGAUUGGUCCCUCUUCGUGACUUUUUCUUACUCUGUUCCUAACCUAAAAAUUCAUCAGCUUCACUAACUACAGAAAAUUAAACUGUGUAUCUCUUGCA